CAGAUGCUAAUACCGCAUAAACCUAACACCGCAUGGUGUAGGGUUGAAAGAUGGUUUCGGUCUAUCACUUUAGGAUGGACCCGCGGUGCAUUAGUUAGUUGGUGAGGUAAAGGCUCACCAAGACCGUGAUGCAUAGCCGACCUGAGAGGGUAAUCGGCCACACUGGGACUGAGACACGGCCCAGACUCCUACGGGAGGCAGCAGUAGGGAAUCUUCCACAAUGGACGAAAGUCUGAUGGAGCAACGCCGCGUGAGUGAGGAAGGUUUUCGGAUCGUAAAACUCUGUUGUUGGAGAAGAAUGUAUCUGAUAGUAACUGAUCAGGUAGUGACGGUAUCCAACCAGAAAGCCACGGCUAACUACGUG
rnacentral:rRNA from 1 species